rnacentral:rRNA from 1 species
GAUGAACGCUGGCGGCGUGCCUAAUACAUGCAAGUCGAGCGAACGGACGAGAAGCUUGCUUCUCUGAUGUUAGCGGCGGACGGGUGAGUAACACGUGGAUAACCUACCUAUAAGACUGGUAUAACUUCGGGAAACCGGAUCUAAUACCGUAUGAUAUUUUGAACCGCAUGGUUCAAAAGUGAAAGACGGUCUUGCUGUCACUUAUAGAUGGAUCCGCGCUGCAUUAGCUAGUUGGUAAGGUCACGGCUUACCAAGGCGACGAUGCAUAGCCGACCUGAGAGGGGGAUCGGCCACACUGGAACUGAGACACGGUCCAGACUCCUACGGGAGGCAGCAGUAGGGAAUGUUCCGCAAUGGGCGAAAGCAUUACGGAGCAACGGCGAGUGAGUUACGAAGGUCUUCGGAUCGUAAAAAUCUGUUAUUAGGGAAGAACAGAUGUGUAAGGAAACGUGCACAGCUUGACGGUACCGAAUAAGAAAGCCACGGCUAACUACGUG